rnacentral:rRNA from 1 species
CCUACGGGAGGCAGCAGUGGGGAAUAUUGCACAAUGGGGGAAACCCUGAUGCAGCGACGCCGCGUGAGUGAAGAAGCGCCUCGGCGCGUAAAGCUCUAUCAGCGGGGAAGAAGGAAGACGGUACCCGACUAAGAAGCCCCGGCUAACUACGUGCCAGCAGCCGCGGUAAUACGUAGGGGGCGAGCGUUAUCCGGAUUUACUGGGUGUAAAGGGAGCGUAGACGGCGUCGCAAGUCUGAAGUGAAAGCCCGUGGCUCAACCGCGGAACCGCUUUGGAAACUGUGAGGCUGGAGUGCUGGAGAGGUAAGCGGAAUUCCUGGUGUAGCGGUGAAAUGCGUAGAUAUCAGGAGGAACACCGGUGGCGAAGGCGGCUUACUGGACAGUGACUGACGUUGAGGCUCGAAAGCGUGGGGAGCGAACAGGAUUAGAUACCCCAGUAGUC